ACCCAGACUACCUGUGACCUAUGAAUGGCUUCAGGAUGGGAGUUCUUGGCAGCUGCCAGGCCUGGGUCAGUGGAAACUCAUCAUCUUGCUACCUACAACAGACAGCACCCCCCACCCCAAAAGUCCUCAGCCUGUGUCUUCCCAGCCUUGAGGCCAGCAAAUGAUCAUGGAGCUUGUCAGGUACUGGACCCUGUUGAGGCCACAGAGAAAAGGAAGGCAUUGUCCUUGAUCUUCGGGACAACUAUCUCCAUAAUAUUUCCACAGAAGCAACUGGAAACUAAGCAGAGACCUGAGAGAACAGGAGAAGACAGCCUGUGCCAGAGCAUGACCAGAUGUGACCUGGAGGAGCCUCACAGCCAGCCCUUUUCUGUCUCCUUCUACAGAGGAGUACAGAGGUGUCACCUGAUUAGAAUCCAGAGUACAAAUGAACACACUGCAGUUCAGAGGCCUGGAACAGGGCUAGGAGUUUAGGGCCAAUGCGGAUGGACUUGAGCCA